rnacentral:rRNA from 1 species
GAUGAACGCUGGCGGCGUGCUUAACACAUGCAAGUCGAACGAUGAAGCCCAGCUUGCUGGGUGGAUUAGUGGCGAACGGGUGAGUAACACGUGAGUAACCUGCCCUUAACUCUGGGAUAAGCCUGGGAAACUGGGUCUAAUACCGGAUAGGAGCGUCCACCGCAUGGUGGGUGUUGGAAAGAUUUAUCGGUUUUGGAUGGACUCGCGGCCUAUCAGCUUGUUGGUGAGGUAAUGGCUCACUAAGGCGACGCCGGGUAGCCGGCCUGAGAGGGUGACCGGCCACACUGGGACUGAGACACGGCCCAGACUCCUACGGGAGGCAGCAGUGGGGAAUAUUGCACAAUGGGCGCAAGCCUGAUGCAGAGACGCCGCGUGAGGGAUGACGGCCUUCGGGUUGUAAACCUCUUUCAGUAGGGAAGAAGCGAAAGUGACGGUACCUGCAGAAGAAGCACCGGCUAACUACGUG